rnacentral:rRNA from 1 species
CGGGAAACCGGGGCUAAUACCGGAUGGUUGUCUGAACCGCAUGGUUCAGACAUAAAAGGUGGCUUCGGCUACCACUUACAGAUGGACCCGCGGCGCAUUAGCUAGUUGGUGAGGUAACGGCUCACCAAGGCGACGAUGCGUAGCCGACCUGAGAGGGUGAUCGGCCACACUGGGACUGAGACACGGCCCAGACUCCUACGGGAGGCAGCAGUAGGGAAUCUUCCGCAAUGGACGAAAGUCUGACGGAGCAACGCCGCGUGAGUGAUGAAGGUUUUCGGAUCGUAAAGCUCUGUUGUUAGGGAAGAACAAGUGCCGUUCAAAUAGGGCGGCACCUUGACGGUACCUAACCAGAAAGCCACGGCUAACUACGUGCCAGCAGCCGCGGUAAUACGUAGGUGGCAAGCGUUGUCCGGAAUUAUUGGGCGUAAAGGGCUCGCAGGCGGUUUCUUAAGUCUGAUGUGAAAGCCCCCGGCUCAACCGGGGAGGGUCAUUGGAAACUGGGGAACUUGAGUGCAGAAGAGGAGAGUGGAAUUCCACGUGUAGCGGUGAAAUGCGUAGAGAUGUGGAGGAACACCAGUGGCGAAGGCGACUCUCUGGUCUGUAACUGACGCUGAGGAGCGAAAGCGUGGGGAGCGAACAGGAUUAGAUACCCUGGUAGUCCACGCCGUAAACGAUGAGUGCUAAGUGUUAGGGGGUUUCCGCCCCUUAGUGCUGCAGCUAACGCAUUAAGCACUCCGCCUGGGGAGUACG